AUUGAACGCUGGCGGCAGGCCUAACACAUGCACGUCGAACGAGUGGCGGACGGGUGAGUAAUGUCUGGGAAACUGCCUGAUGGAGGGGGAUAACUACUGGAAACGGUCGCUAAUACCGCAUACCAUCGGAUGUGCCCCGAUGGGAUUAGGUAGUAGGUGGGGUAAAGGCUCACCUAGGCGACGAUCCCUAGCUGGUCUGCGAGGAUGACCGGCCACACUGGAACGGGGAGACGGUCCAGCCUCCUACGGGAGGCAGCUGUGGGGAAUAGGGCACAAUGGGCGCAAGCCUGAUGCAGCCAUGCCGCGUGUAGGAAGGAGGCCUUCGGGUUGUAAAGUACUUUCAGCGGAGAGGCGUUACCCGCAGAAGAAGCACCGGCUAACUCCGUGCCAGCAGCCGCGGUAAUAC
rnacentral:rRNA from 1 species